UACGGAGGGGGCUAGCGUUGUUCGGAAUUACUGGGCGUAAGGCGCGCGUAGGCGGACCUGCAAGUCGGGGGUGAAAGCCCGAGGCUCAACCUCGGAACUGCCUUCGAUACUGCGGGUCUCGAGUCCGGGAGAGGUGAGUGGAAUUCCUAGUGUAGAGGUGAAAUUCGUAGAUAUUAGGAAGAACACCAGUGGCGAAGGCGGCUCACUGGCCCGGUACUGACGCUGAGGCGCGAAAGCGUGGGGAGCAAACA
rnacentral:rRNA from 1 species